UGUUCUAGAGGUGAAUUCACUUUGAACAGCAAGAAAUCACUCAUUUAUCAAAUGAAGAAUUUCCACUUUUGUACAAUAAAUCAAUAUACAAGUCUUGAAAAAAAAAAGUCUUUCUUGACAGUAAGAAAAUAAGUAAAAACAAUUGGUCCCAGUGGGGUUUUGACCUAUGCCCCCAUCUACAAAAUUUCAGUCAAAGUAGAUUUAUGGUAGGAAUUGAAUAUACUCUUCAAAAGGACGCACUCUAUUAUUGUUCUAAUACCUUAAAGGGAGUUGAAUUUUAGCCAAAAUCUGGACAUGACAGUGACCUUCACAGUUUUCCUACAUCUGUCCUGUUUCCUUAUCAUGCAGUAUUGAUAUUUGGGUGAGAAAAAAAAAUGAAGCCUUUUAAAGAUUUCCAUUUUAUUGCUUACUGAAAUAAGAAACUGGUUCAUUUUUUACUUCUGAGAAUGUGUUUUAUAGUGGUUGAUUGUUAUUUCAAGUUUUGACGCAUUACGAUGUUCCAUUAAAAAAUAAUGAAGAAAAAACCUUCCAAAAAUAUCCCAAGUGUACUGGUUUUAGCGUGACAUUUAAAUGAAAUCAUGUUUUCAACUUAAAAUUACUUUAUAACCACCUUAUAUGUUAAGAAAAUGUUUUCUUUAUGCUGAAGUGUAAUGUGUUGGUUAUUGGGUUAGCAAAAGUUUAGAAAAUAUUAAUGAAUAAUUAUUCUUCAAGGCUUCUAAGAAAUGAAAAGGUGUUGAGUUUUAUUUUGCUCCGAAAAUGGCCAACUGAUACUUUACUAGUCGCAGCAUUGAAAAGUAUUGAUAAUUAGAUGAAGUAUUUUUUCUUUGUUUAGUACUGAUGUUUUUUAUUUAUUUUUUUCAAUAUUUUUUCGACUAAUACAUUUUGAACAACAAAUUAUUUGUAAUAUUGAACAACAAAAAUAUCCCAAGUGUACAAAAUAGCAAAAUUAAUAAAUAUUUUUCUUGUUCAUAUGAUUUUUUUUUAAUUUGCACAUUCUUACUAAGAGGAGGAGCCUACAAAACAGUCAUAACAAAGAUUUGACAUAGUUAUGCCAUUUGAGAUUUUUCUUGCAAAUAAUGUGAUGUUCCAAGUGUACAUGACUUUUGACACGUUUGAUUUUACAGGUGUAUGUGCCCAAAAAUAUGAAUGACACGUCACCUAGGUGCAUGACAGCAUUUAAUAGGGUGCAGUUUUCUUACAGAAAUGUCUUUUCAGUUGUUAUAAUGGUAAACUGGCGAAACAUUAUGGAUUUUCGCAAAUUUUGACAGUAAGAACAUUUUUAAGUAAGUGUACCUUUAUACUGACUAACUUAAUUUCUAAAUCAUAUACUUUAAUGUAGGCUACUAUCAUUAUAGCUCAAAAGAAUGCAUAUUCUCUUGAAACAUUUAACAUUUGAAAACCCCAGUGUGUUACCUUGGUAUAUGAGCGUACAGUUAAGAUUCAUAAUAAUGGACACAAAGUUUUAAAGAAAGUCAGUCAGAAGGAAAAAGGCCUUACUAUUGCACUGUAAAUGAUCUGUGUUACAAUUUAGAUGAGACCGUCAGGUUAAAUCAGUCAGUAGAAGAAUAUACUGAAUAUCAAUGUUGCAGGGUAUAUUCUUUAAUAUAAACCAGAUAUUCUUAGGAAUGAUAAAAAUGACAGAAGUCAGAAUUGUUGAAGACCAUUGUCCGCUAUUUUUAACACAUAUUCAUUUGUUAAGAAGUUGUCAGGUACUCUCACAGAAAAAUACUUAUAAUUUCCUUCAACUUCAUUUGAUGUUUUAAAUAUGUUGCUUUACUGUUUUGUAGAAUCCCAGAGAGGAACUAAAAGACAAAGAGUUGUAACGAAUGAUGAGUACUGUGCUGGGAAAACAGUAAAGGCAAUUUGGCGUGAUGAGGAUGGGGAAAAUUGGUUGGAUGCAACAAUCUUGACAGUUUAUGCUGAUGGCAAGACCUGCAAAGUGAGGUAUCAUGUGGACAAUGGUAUUUCAAAGUUGGCCAGAUCCUGGAUAAGAAAGAUUUAAAGUGGACUUUCACACCAGUGUACACCAGUGUUUCAGAUGAUUUUCCCUAUUCCAACAUAACUCAUUGACAGUAUCCCUUAUGCCAAAUAACUUGCAGGCUAAAAUGACAAAUAAUGAUACAUGCAUAUUUUUGUGUAAAAUGUGAUAGAAAUCAAUACCUUCACAGUUGAUCUCCAUUACUGAUAGUAUAUUUCUAGAUUCCAAAUGAGCUAGUUUACAAAAAAAUGAUAAAAUUGAGCUACAAAUGAUAAAACAUAACUGGAACUUUGUUGAAGUGCAUCUAUGAAAAAUUCUGAUGUUAUUUUUAUGUUAAUUUUCUGUUUUUUAUUCAAUGCGCGAGCAUAAGAAAAAGUGCUAUGAGGAAAGUAUUUCUUUUAGACUUUAUUUAAAUGAUGCAUGAAAAAUUAUCUACCACUAGUUGUAGAUGCAGACUUAAAUAUCUGGGGCACUUGGAAAAUUAAUUAUAUUGGUAAGUCAGACAAGCCUUGUUACUGCCAAAACAAGUUACUCUGGAACCGGUUAUUCUGAUCUACAUCUACAACCAGUGGCAGAUUUUAUAGUCUGUAAUUCAUUAAAUGAUAUCCUAAAAAUGAUUGAGUGAUAUCACAAAAUCGAUGCAUUAUGUGAGAUCCUUAAUUAGAUGAUAUAGUUAUUCAUUUUAUGAUAUCCAAAAAUCAAUAAUGGAUAUCAUAAAAUAGAAUUAAAGAUAUUAAAUGGAAUUAAGGAUAUCAUAAAAAUCUGAUUUUAGAAUAUCCAAUAAAUGAAUUACAGAUAUGUAUAAAACAUUUUGUGAUAUAUCUAUAUGCAUUUAAUGAUAUACAAAAAUGAUAAAUGCUAUCGUUAAAUGAAUUUGUGACAUCCAUGAAUGAAUUAAGAAUAGAUUACUUAUAACUGGAUUUAGGAUAUUACACUUAAAUAGUGAAUAAAAAGUAAAAUGGCAUUCUAUAGUAUUUUGUAUUUUAUAUAGUGAACAAUCAAAUUUGCAUCCGAUCAAAUUAUAUUGCACCAAAUUUUGUAUAUUUAUUUAUUGUUUAUGUUGAAAUGUAUAUAUGUUUAUUUAUUUCUUGAUGUGGAUUUAAAGUGUGAAAAGUGAUGUUUGAGAGAACGAUUAAUUUCUAGUAAAAGCUGAUACUCAUUGGUGUAACAAUUUUUAUAUUUAUAAAAAAAUUAUCAAUGUAAUAAAGGUUCACUGAUUCUUUUCAUUAACUGAAAAAUGCAAUGAGAAGUUGAAGUACCUGUUUUCAGUUUUGUAAAUAAUAUUUACAAAGAAGUUGAAGAAAUGUUCAACAAAUGCUCUUUUUUAUCAAAAGCUGUAAAGAGCUGAAUUUAUGUUGAAAAUGUAACUGUUCUGCAUGUCAGAGUGUCAUUUGUGUGAAUUUUGUUUAUUUGGGGUUGAAAACUAGUCUGGGUCACUAGGUUAAAUCAAAGAAAAUGCUUGUUUACCCUCAAGAGGCCAUGUUUUUUUCUGUUCUAUCUUAGUGAAAAUUUGUCAGAAUAUUUGUUUCCAUGAAAUCACUAGGUAAAACAUGUUUACACUGUUAUGAUGUGUUACUCAGAUGAGCCCAUUUUGGCCCUCUUCUUAUAGAAACUUUUUGUCAAGAGAAUCAUUUUUGUCAAGAUUUACAUAUUAAAUUGCUUUAAACAUUUUAUCAAGAUGUGUCAAUAAGUGUUAUAUAUUUUAUUAUGUAUCAUAAACAUAAAAACAUGUUCCUGUCUGAACAGUUUUACAGUGAUAGGCAAUAAUGGAUUUGUUUAAGGUUCUGCGCAGCAGAUGACUUUCAAAAAAUAAAAGACUAGUGUUGCCUCUGCUAGAGUCUUAAGCCUUAGAGCAUAACGACACUAAAUAAAUAUGCCAGGCUGAACUUUUUACUUGUCAAGAUUAAUGUAAAAUCUUUUAACAAGCUUUAUAUUUGUAUAUCCAGUACAGGCUUUAGAUCAUUCAAAAGACUCCAGUUUAGCCAUGAAAGUUCUGGCAGAACUUUUUCUACAGUGACUCAUCACAGUAAAGAUUUACAUAUUUUUUUUUUAACAUUUUUCCAAGUAUGUGGUAAAUUUAUUAAGAGUCUGUUAUAUAUAAUGAGGCAAGCAAAACAUUUUCAGACUCGUGUUGAUAUUGUUUAUAAUUUUAAAGGAUGCGAGUUGAGAUGGAUGUAUUCUGUCAGGCAGAACUGUUUUAAACAUGUAUAGUUUUUGUCGAGCCUGCUUGCGGAAGCGAAGACAUAGUUGUCCAAAUGUCUGUCCGGUGUAUGUGCGUGCGUCCGUCUGGAUUUGUUUGUCCGGACCAUAACUUUGACAUGCAUGGAGCAAUCUUGUUUAUAUUUGGAAUGAAUGUUAAACUCAGUGAGGCAAAGUGUCAUGCGCAAACUCCAGGUUCCUAUCUCAAAGGUC